rnacentral:ncRNA from 1 species
AUCAGCAAAGAUAGAAACACAGUUCCGGUUGGUAGUCCGGACGUAUUCAAUGUUUUGAAUAUCAGUAGCCCUCCCUCCUUGGGUCGUCCAUUCUUUGUGUAUGAUAC